GAUGAACGCUGGCGGCGUGCCUAAUACAUGCAAGUCGAGCGAGAAGCUUGGAAAUGACGCUUCGGUUGAUUUUCCAAGCGGACAGCGGCGGACGGGUGAGUAACGCGUAGGCAACCUGCCCCUGACAGAGGGAUAGCCAUUGGAAACGAUGAUUAAAACCUCAUGACACCGUAGUAGCACAUGCUACAUCGGUCAAAGAUUUAUCGGUCAGGGAUGGGCCUGCGUCUGAUUAACUGGUUGGUGAGGUAACGGCUCACCAAGGUGACGAUCAGUAGCCGACCUGAGAGGGUGAUCGGCCACAUUGGAACUGAGACACGGUCCAAACUUCUACGGAAGGCAGCAGUAGGGAAUCUUGCACAAUGGGCGAAAGCCUGAUGCAGCAACGCCGCGUGAAGGAUGAAGGCCUUCGGGUUGUAAACUUCUGUUCUAAGGGAAGAAAGAAAUGACGGUACCUUAGGAGCAAGCCCCG
rnacentral:rRNA from 1 species